CCUACGGGUGGCAGCAGUGGGGAAUAUUGGACAAUGGGCGCAAGCCUGAUCCAGCAAUACCGCGUGGGUGAUGAAGGUCUUCGGAUUGUAAAGCCCUUUUAGUGGAGAAGAUAAUGACGGUAUCCACAGAAAAAGCACCGGCAAACUUCGUGCCAGCAGCCGCGGUAAUACGAAGGGUGCUAGCGUUGUUCGGAAUUACUGGGCGUAAAGCGUACGUAGGCGGUUUGGUAAGUCGAUUGUGAAAGCCCUGGGCUCAACCCGGGAACUGCAACCGAAACUGCCUUACUUGAAUUUGGUAGGGGAUGGCGGAAUUCCUAGUGUAGGGGUGAAAUCCGUAGAUAUUAGGAAGAACACCAGUGGCGAAGGCGGCCAUCUAUGCCAAUAUUGACGCUAAGGUACGAAAGCGUGGGGAGCAAACAGGAUUAGAUACCCUGGUAGUC
rnacentral:rRNA from 1 species